rnacentral:tmRNA from 1 species
GGGGAUGUGCUGGAUUCGACAGGCACAGUUUGACCUUGAGUCACGUUUUGCAGGUUACGUCUGCAUCAACAACGUUACUAAAAUUAAUUAACACAAAUUAUGAAAAUAAUUUAGCUUUAGCUGCGUAAUAGCGGCUUAAGCGAUCCGAACUAGCAUCGCCCAUGUGCUAACUAGGGUCUCAAAUUGAAAGUGGGAUACGCUUUUGGCUUCCGUCUGCAGCCAAAAGAAGAGAUGAUCAGACUAGUGAAGCAUCAUGCCAGUCCUAUGGCUUGUGUGGAGCGAAUCUUUCAAAUAGUAGGACUAUGAACGUAAAGAUUGAAGUGGCAAUGUGCCUGGACAGGGGUUCAAUUCCCCUCAUCUCCAUAA